UUACACCCGUAUUCACAAACGAUACUUACCUAUGCAAAGCAGCAACGCUAUGCGAAAUGAGACAUUUCUCAAUGCGUUCCAUAUGACAAGCCUUUCAAUUCAUAAACAAUACUUAAACGACCCUUGACUAUGCAAAAUCAGAGUGUUGAAUAGAGUUCUGUGAUUGGUUUGCUUAUGUUACGCACUUCACUCCGCUAACUGACAUGACAUUCCUGUCAUUCAAACGAUGCAACGGUUUAUAAGUGUCGUUAUUUUGUGGAUUUGUGAAUUAAAUAAUAUAAAUAAAUAUGGAUAAAACUACAACUAUCAGGCUCACACAUCAACUGAAAAGCUGCUGGAAUAAUUUAAAGACCCAAAGAAUGAAAGAACUUUCUCAGGAAUCAAUCAAACGUUCUCAACACCCACUAGUAGGUAUCAAGAAAUUAAGAUUAGUAGUAGCAAGAAUGAAGAUUAAGACAGAAACAAGAAUCAAACGCACCACAUUGAAUAAUAUACAACAAGACCAGGCUUUGCACGAGUUGGGGCUACAAAGAGAAAAAAUAUUGAUAGAAAGAGAAAACAAUUUGUUAGAACAUGAAAAAAAGCUUUAUGAUUUACAAAUACAUAAAAUUAAAUUAGACAUUGAAGAUUGAUGAAAAUAAAACUUUA